rnacentral:rRNA from 1 species
UGGGGGAAUAUUGGGGCAAUGGGCGAAAGCCUGACCCAGCAACGCCGCGUGAGGGAAGAAGGGUUUCGGCUCGUAAACCUCUGUCCUAUGGGACGAAGGAAGUGACGGUACCAUAGGAGGAAGCUCCGGCUAACUACGUGCCAGCAGCCGCGGUAAUACGUAGGGAGCAAGCGUUAUCCGGAAUUACUGGGUGUAAAGGGAGUGUAGGCGGGACUGUAAGUCAGAUGUGAAAUAUGCCGGCUCAACUGGCAGAUUGCAUUUGAAACUGUGGUUCUUGAGUGAAGUAGAGGUAAGCGGAAUUCCUGGUGUAGCGGUGAAAUGCGUAGAUAUCAGGAGGAACAUCAGUGGCGAAGGCGGCUUACUGGGCUUUAACUGACGCUGAGGCUCGAAAGCGUGGGGAGCAAACAGGAUUAGAUACCCUGGUAGU